UACGUAGGGGGCUAGCGUUAUCCGGAAUUACUGGGCGUAAAGGGUGCGUAGGUGGUUUCUUAAGUCAGAGGUGAAAGGCUACGGCUCAACCGUAGUAAGCCUUUGAAACUGGGAAACUUGAGUGCAGGAGAGGAGAGUGGAAUUCCUAGUGUAGCGGUGAAAUGCGUAGAUAUUAGGAGGAACACCAGUUGCGAAGGCGGCCCUCUGGACUGUAACUGACACUGAGGCACGAAAGCGUGGGGAGCAAACAGG
rnacentral:rRNA from 1 species